GGAAACGCCCGGACCCAUACCGAACCCGGAAGCUAAGCCCUCCAGCGCCGAUGGUACUGCACCCGCCAGGGUGUGGGAGAGUAGGACACCGCCGAAC
rnacentral:rRNA from 1 species